UCAACAGACAUUUCUGAGGUGGAGACAUAGCUUGGAGCAUUCUCAGAAUAUAAAUAGUGGUCGAAGCCACGUGUAAGAGACUAAGAAGGUCUAGGUUCUUAGAAGAUAAAAAAGAAAGGUGGUGAAAGCCUAAUGAGGAGCAAGGCAGGGGUUGGCAGCCACAGCAUCUGUGCUGGCUUGAGACUCCAGAUUCCAGAGGCGCUUCAUUACCAAGCAAUCCCCACUGCCUUUGCUGUGUCCCCUUCCUGACAGCCUGGCUAAGGGGUUUGGACACAGCUUGUUUCCCAACACUUCCUUCUCAGAGUUGAUUGCCUUCUUCCAAUAAGUACCAAAGGCAUGAGAACAAGAGCUUUUGUAUAAAA